CAGAAGUGGUUUAACUUCUGAGGUUUCUGGUAUAUCUUCCGGUGGAUCAGGACUAUAUGUUGAAAUAAGAUGAUUGAAUUCUAGUUCAUCUGUGUCUGACUCUUGAUGAGAUAAAUUUUGUAAUUCUAGAGUUUUUAUUCUGUUUUUUAAUUGGUGAACUUCCUUUUUGACUUCUUUAAUCUCUUGUUUUAAGUCUGAAAUAGAAGGUUCUUUUUGUUGAGUAAUAUGUUGUUCACUCACUCUUUUCAUAAUA
rnacentral:lncRNA from 1 species